GAUAAACGCUGGCGGCGUGCCUAAUACAUGCAAGUCGAGCGAACGGACGAGAAGCUUGCUUCUCUGAUGUUAGCGGCGGACGGGUGAGUAACACGUGGAUAACCUACCUAUAAGACUGGGAUAACUUCGGGAAACCGGAGCUAAUACCGGAUAAUAUUUUGAACCGCAUGGUUCAAAAGUGAAAGACGGUCUUGCUGUCACUUAUAGAUGGAUCCGCGCUGCAUUAGCUAGUUGGUAAGGUAACGGCUUACCAAGGCAACGAUGCAUAGCCGGCCUGAGAGGGUGAUCGGCCACACUGGAACUGAGACACGGUCCAGACUCCUACGGGAGGCAGCAGUAGGGAAUCUUCCGCAAUGGGCGAAAGCCUGACGGAGCAACGCCGCGUGAGUGAUGAAGGUCUUCGGAUCGUAAAACUCUGUUAUUAGGGAAGAACAUAUGUGUAAGUAACUGUGCACAUCUUGACGGUACCUAAUCAGAAAGCCACGGCUAACUACGUGCCAGCAGCCGCGGUAAUACGUAGGUGGCAAGCGUUAUCCGGAAUUAUUGGGCGUAAAGCGCGCGUAGGCGGUUUUUUAAGUCUGAUGUGAAAGCCCACGGCUCAACCGUGGAGGGUCAUUGGAAACUGGAAAACUUGAGUGCAGAAGAGGAAAGUGGAAUUCCAUGUGUAGCGGUGAAAUGCGCAGAGAUAUGGAGGAACACCAGUGGCGAAGGCGACUUUCUGGUCUGUAACUGACGCUGAUGUGCGAAAGCGUGGGGAUCAAACAGGAUUAGAUACCCUGGUAGUCCACGCCGUAAACGAUGAGUGCUAAGUGUUAGGGGGUUUCCGCCCCUUAGUGCUGCAGCUAACGCAUUAAGCACUCCGCCUGGGGAGUACGACCGCAAGGUUGAAACUCAAAGGAAUUGACGGGGACCCGCACAAGCGGUGGAGCAUGUGGUUUAAUUCGAAGCAACGCGAAGAACCUUACCAAAUCUUGACAUCCUUUGACAACUCUAGAGAUAGAGCCUUCCCCUUCGGGGGACAAAGUGACAGGUGGUGCAUGGUUGUCGUCAGCUCGUGUCGUGAGAUGUUGGGUUAAGUCCCGCAACGAGCGCAACCCUUAAGCUUAGUUGCCAUCAUUAAGUUGGGCACUCUAAGUUGACUGCCGGUGACAAACCGGAGGAAGGUGGGGAUGACGUCAAAUCAUCAUGCCCCUUAUGAUUUGGGCUACACACGUGCUACAAUGGACAAUACAAAGGGCAGCGAAACCGCGAGGUCAAGCAAAUCCCAUAAAGUUGUUCUCAGUUCGGAUUGUAGUCUGCAACUCGACUACAUGAAGCUGGAAUCGCUAGUAAUCGUAGAUCAGCAUGCUACGGUGAAUACGUUCCCGGGUCU
rnacentral:rRNA from 1 species